GAACGCUGGCGGCAUGCCUUACACAUGCAAGUCGAACGGCAGCGCGGGGGCAACCUGGCGGCGAGUGGCGAACGGGUGAGUAACAUAUCGGAACAUACCCUAGAGUGGGGGGAUAGCCCAGAGAAAUUUGGAUUAAUACCUCAUAGUAUAGCAGUUUCGCAUGAAACCACUAUUAAAGUCACAACGAUGAAAGAUGAGCAUGCGUCCCAUUAGCUUGUUGGUAAGGUAACGGCUUACCAAGGCAACGAUGGGUAGGGGUCCUGAGAGGGAGAUCCCCCACACUGGUACUGAGACACGGACCAGACUCCUACGGGAGGCAGCAGUGAGGAAUAUUGGACAAUGGGCACAAGCCUGAUCCAGCCAUGCCGCGUGCAGGAUGACGGUCCUAUGGAUUGUAAACUGCUUUUGUACAGGAAGAAACACUCCCUCGUGAGGGAGCUUGACGGUACUGUAAGAAUAAGGAUCGGCUAACUCCGUG
rnacentral:rRNA from 1 species